UACGAAGGGGGCUAGCGUUGCUCGGAAUCACUGGGCGUAAAGGGCGCGUAGGCGGCGUUUUAAGUCGGGGGUGAAAGCCUGUGGCUCAACCACAGAAUGGCCUUCGAUACUGGGACGCUUGAGUAUGGUAGAGGUUGGUGGAACUGCGAGUGUAGAGGUGAAAUUCGUAGAUAUUCGCAAGAACACCGGUGGCGAAGGCGGCCAGCUGGACCAUUACCGACGCUGAGGCGCGAAAGCGUGGGGAGCAAACAGG
rnacentral:rRNA from 1 species